UACAGAGGGUGCUAGCGUUGUUCGGAAUUAUUGGGCGUAAAGCGCGUGUAGGCGGCUUUGCAAGUCGGGUGUGAAAGCCCUCAGCUCAACUGAGGAAGGGCGCCCGAAACUGCAGAGCUUGAGUGCCGGAGAGGGUGGCGGAAUUCCCCAAGUAGAGGUGAAAUUCGUAGAUAUGGGGAGGAACACCGGUGGCGAAGGCGGCCACCUGGACGGUAACUGACGCUGAGACGCGAAAGCGUGGGUAGCAAACAGG
rnacentral:rRNA from 1 species